UAGGGAAUCUUCCGCAAUGGACGCAAGUCUGACGGAGCAACGCCGCGUGAGUGAAGAAGGAUUUCGGUUCGUAAAACUCUGUUGUUAGAGAAGAACAGCGCAUAGAGUAACUGUUAUGCGUGUGACGGUAUCUAACCAGAAAGCCACGGCUAACUACGUGCCAGCAGCCGCGGUAAUACGUAGGUGGCAAGCGUUGUCCGGAUUUAUUGGGCGUAAAGCGAGCGCAGGCGGUCAAUUAAGUCUGAUGUGAAAGCCCCCGGCUCAACCGGGGAGGGUCAUUGGAAACUGGUUGACUUGAGUGCAGAAGAGGAGAGUGGAAUUCCAUGUGUAGCGGUGAAAUGCAUAGAUAUAUGGAGGAACACCGGUGGCGAAAGCGGCUCUCUUGUCUGUAACUGACGCGGAGGCUCGAAAGCGUGGGGAGCGAACAGG
rnacentral:rRNA from 1 species